rnacentral:rRNA from 1 species
CCUACGGGAGGCAGCAGUGGGGAAUAUUGGACAAUGGGCGCAAGCCUGAUCCAGCAAUUCCGCGUGGGUGAAGAAGGUCUUCGGAUUGUAAAGCCCUUUCGUUGGGGACGAUGAUGACGGUACCCAAAGAAGAAGCCCCGGCUAACUUCGUGCCAGCAGCCGCGGUAAUACGAAGGGGGCUAGCGUUGCUCGGAAUGACUGGGCGUAAAGGGCGCGUAGGCGGCACAACUCGUCAGGCGUGAAAUUCCUGGGCUUAACCUGGGGGCUGCGUUUGAUACGGUUGGGCUAGAGGAUGGAAGAGGCUCGUGGAAUUCCCAGUGUAGAGGUGAAAUUCGUAGAUAUUGGGAAGAACACCGGUGGCGAAGGCGGCGAGCUGGUCCAUUACUGACGCUGAGGCGCGAAAGCGUGGGGAGCAAACAGGAUUAGAUACCCUGGUAGUCCACGCUGUAAACGAUGUGCGCUGGAUGUUGGGUAACUUAGUUACUCAGUGUCGUAGCUAACGCGAUAAGCGCACCGCCUGGGGAGUACGGCCGCAAGGUUGAAACUCAAAGGAAAUUGACGGCGUGAGAGUUGCGAAGACGACGACGAGGGAGGAGG